UCCGCGAUAGCUCAGCGGUAGAGCAGUUGGCUGUUAACCAAUUGGUCGCAGGUUCGAAUCCUGCUCGCGGAGCAA
rnacentral:tRNA from 1 species